UACGAAGGGGGCGAGCGUUGUUCGGAAUCACUGGGCGUAAAGCGUGCGUAGGCGGCGAUGAAAGUUAGAAGUGAAAUCCCCGGGCUCAACCUGGGAACUGCAUUUGUGACUGCACAGCUGGAGUGCGGCAGAGGGGGAUGGAAUUCCGCGUGUAGCAGUGAAAUGCGUAGAUAUGCGGAGGAACACCGAUGGCGAAGGCAAUCCCCUGGGCCUGCACUGACGCUCAUGCACGAAAGCGUGGGGAGCAAACAGG
rnacentral:rRNA from 1 species